GAAGCACUUCCGGCCGGAAGUAAACCAGUUUCAGCCAGUUUGCGCUUUUAGCAUUAUAGCGAUAAGGCGACUUUGUUGAUCAGAGUAUUUAUUUCGAUAUAUAACCAGCGGAGUUAAUCGAUCGAUAAGACCGGGUCAAAUUAAAAAAAUAUGGACAGAAUAAAAAACUGGUUUAAGUCGGAUAAAGAAAAAAAUCUACAAUUUAAAAGGUGAUGCUGUAUGGGUUCGUGUUGAGUGUGAAUGUCUGUGAUGGAGGGAAGGGACACCCCAGUGAUCUUCUCAGCUGUCCUCACUGUCCUCCGCAGGGUCUUCUGAUCCUGCGUAGAAGGGUUGGUGCUGAGGAUGAGGGGUGGGAGAUGGGCGAUGGGCUUUUCGCAGAAAGUAGAGACGCUGCUUGUCUUUGUUGUUUGUGGAGCUGGUGUUGAGGGACCAGGCGAGGUUCUCCGGCAGGGAUUUGGUGCUCUUGACGAUUUCUACGGAGGAUCCGGCGAUGUUCAGUGGAGCCGAUGAUAUUCUGUUAUGUUUCGUCCACGAUAAGCAACAGGUCGUUGGCUCUGCACCAGUCGGUUAGUCGCUUCACCUCCUCUCUGUAUGCUGACUCGUCCUUCCUGCUGAUGAGACCCACCAUGGCCGUGCCAUCUGCAAACAUGAUUAUGCCCGGUGCGGUGGUGCUGGAGAUGCUGCUCCCGAUCUGGACUGACUGAGCUCUCGGCGUCGGGAGUCGUGUCGGCCUUGGCGUCGGGAGUAGUGUCGGCCUUGGCGUCGGGAGUCGUGUCGGCCUUGGCGUCGGGAGUCGUGUCGGCCUUGGUGUCGGGAGUCGUGUCGAAGUUGAAGAUGUUUACUGGGGACUUUGAGGACAGGCUUUCAACAUCAGCACCACUCACCUCCGUCUCAUCGUCCACGUCCCACCCAGCUCCGUCUCAGGAUCUCCUCUAGCCUGGCCUUCACCGCAUCCGACUCCAGCAGCGAUCACAUCAGGCGUCUCCAUGGGUGGAAACGAAGGCGGCGGACGCGGAGACCGAUGGAGCCUCUUCGGGAUGCGUCCCACCGUGCAGAAAUCCCCCACCGACCCCGGCUCCGAUUCCAACACCUCGGGAGGGUUCAACCUGCAGUCGUGCUUCGGGCUUCAGAAAUCCACCACCCUGGACGGCAUCAAGACCCAAGUGAACCUCGCGGUCGAAGACCCCGCCAACUUCAAGUCUUCCAACCUGGAGGUGACCGCAGCGGAGGGAAAAAAGGCAUCUGCGCAUAAACUCAAACAUCGCGACAUGAACAUUCUCACUCCGUCCGGCUUCUGACGUCGGCGUCCGCUUCGUCGUCCUUUCCCCCUCUGCUCAGGUCGCUCACACACUCACUCCGCACAAACUUACACACACAGAAUACAGGGCAAAUCAUUCAGCCAGACGUUUGUAUCCGUCUCCGAUGCCAAAUUUCUUUCGACGCUCAGACACAUGUAACCCGAAUUGAACCGAGUUUCAGCUUUACUGUGAUCGUGAUGGUGCAGUGUCACAUGACAACCGAAAUACAUCUGCUUUAUCUCUGAAUGUCCUCCAUUUUAUUGUGCUCCAGUCAGAUCGUAUGAAACAGGGUAUCACGCCGCCGCGCAAGAAACCUGCUUUAACAGCACGCCGACAUUACGAGGAAUCUUUUUGUAAAUAGUACCGACGUUCUGUUCGAACCGUGUCGCGUCAUCGUUUCGCGAGGCGUUCGUUGCUUGUCCAUCCAUAGAACUUUUUUUUUUUUUUUGCGGUGUAUAUUUAUAUCUAUGCAGUCCAGGGGCGUUACGGCGUCACAGUUUCACGGUGGACUUUAAAAGAAAAAAAAAAAGUAUUUAUUUAUUACAAUACAGAAUCACAUUCCCGUACUGUUUUGAUGUACGACCCCCAAUCGCCAAAAAAGUUGGGACGCUGUCUCAAAACAGAAUGCAACGAUUUGCAAAUCUCCUAAAAACACACGUCAUUCACAAUAGAACAUAUCAAGCGUUUAAACCGAGGAAACGUACCGUAGUACGGAUUUCUGAAUUCGAUGGCUCCGACACGUCUCGAAAAAAGUCGGGACGGGGGCAAGAAAAGGCUGGAAAAGUAAGUGUCAGUAAAAAGAAACAGCAGGAAGUUGAUUGGGAACAGGUCACGAGUGCGUGUUUUUUACGGGCGGGAGCACCGCAACGUGUUUAGAUCGAAACGUCCGCUUGCAGAUUUCAACGAAUGGCAGCGUUGUCACGGUAUGAUUUUUAUCUCCAGGAUUUUAUUUAUUUAUUUAUUUAUUUAUUUAACAGAUGCAUACGCCUGGACAGACUUCACCACGUUUAACCUCCUACAGAUUCCAUCGUAUCCUUUGUUUCAUUUUCAAGUGACUUACUAAUGAUCAAGAGCAACUCACAUGGUGUGUGUGUGUGUGUGUGUGUGUGUGUGUGUGUAUAUAUAUACAUAUACACACACACACACACACACACUACCGGUCAAAAGUUUAGACACACUCAUUCUGUAUUCAAAUUUUUUCCCACACAUUUUAGAAUAAUAAUAAUAAAGUCGUCAAAACUCUGGAGUAACACAAGUGGAACUAUGGGAAUUAUGUUGUGAUAAAAAUCCCAAAUAAAUCAAAAUAAUUGAGUAUUUUAGCAUCUUCAAAGUCGACGCCCUUUUUGUCUAGAAUUUCCAGAAACGUAUUCUUGGCGUUUUCUCGAGCGAUUUCUUGAGGAAUUUCCCCCGAGAUGUUUUUUUUUUAAUCAGUCUUAAAGGAGUUCCCACCGACGCCGGACUCUUCUCUCCUGCUUUUCGGAAAUAUUUCUCUCCGAGUCGUCCGUUUAAAAUAAACAUUUAUCUUGUAAAUAAAACGUCAGUUUUCUAACGAAAGAAACGAACACGUCGGCGCGAUGAUAUUUCUGUCUACGACACCGAUUUCACACGUUUAAUCACACACCUUCCGAUCAGAAGCGUUUUAACAUCACGAGAAACGUUUCAGUCGAGCGUCCACAAACUUUUGACCGGCCGUGUAGUAAAGGUUAAAUACCGUAUUAAAACGAGCUCUGUGUGAUGAGCACGCGCACAUCAUGGUGAUUUACCCCUCCACGCGCUCGUACACAUGACAUCCCGAACACGUCUACGUGUAACGAGACGGACGCGGUUUUUGAAUGUCCGUUACGUGCCGUGAAACCGUGACGUUUUCGGACACGCCCGGUACAGACGCCACGUCUUGGUUACACCAGCGCCGGAGUCCCUCGUACUGUUCUGCGUGCUGGACGUGCUGAUAAAACAGGUUCGUAGCGUCCCAGCGCUCACUCGCCCGUGUCUGCCGAUGGUGUGAGAUCGAGGUGUCCCCGAGUCCCUCCGCCCAUAAGCAAUAGCAUUUCACGGGAUGGAGUUAUAUAUUAAAUGCAUAUUAAAGUACUGCGCUGUAUUGUUUUUAAACACCAACCCUUUUUCUUUUUUUUUUUUUUCUUUUUCCUAGACAUUUCUAGACACCCUGUGACUGAAACACAUUUUGUAUUUCAAUUCCUGCUCUGAUCUAUAUAUUAUAUAUUAUAUAAUAUAUAUUAUAUAUUAUAUAUUUAUCACACUAAUUGCUUUUGUAGUGAUGUUUUUUUUUAAAGUGUUUUUUUUAAAGUAUUUUUUUUCCAUUCACUUAAAUGUUACAACUAGUGAAAUUACUACUUUUUUGCAUUCCAGUUUACACACACACACACACACACACACACACACACACACACACACAUUUCAUGUUUUUGUUUUGUAUAAAGAUUUAUCUGCCAUGCAGCUGUUCAGUUUGAGUCUGAUGCCUCGAAUAAAGUUUUAAGUCAAGUCA